UGAAACAAAAGCACUAUCAAAAAGAUUGAAGUACAAAUAAUAUAUACUGGGUAAUGCACUUUUGUUUUAUCAUCUUCUAUAUAUAUAUGGACAACAUUAAAAUGUAAAAUUCAAAUUUUUAUGCUGUUCUUUGUAAAAAUCAUUCAAAGACAAAUGUUUGUGCUGAAAAAAGUUCCUCAGUAAAAAAUAACGCAUCUAGUAUAUCUGUGUUCCCAUCUUCAAAGAAGAUAUUCUAAAAUUCAACUAAGAAGGGAAUUAACUUUUUCAACUGGAAGUAGAAUCGUUGUAUUUUAAUAGAAGGCUGAAAAUGGAUGAUUUUAAAUUAAAUAUGAAGUCAUUCUGUUGAGCAGAAUUUUGAUAAAAAAUUGAAAUAAAAUAUUUGUGUUCAUUCACCAUGUUGGACAAGUAUCUUCAACUAGAGGCUCUAAAGAGCCUGUGUCGGUCACUUUGGUCUAUGUGCAUAUUAAACAAAGGACACAGUUGGAUUCAUGAUAAAAUUGUGUUUUGGUGAUGGUGAUGUGUUUGUAGAUCUUACUUACUGAAAAUUCUUGCUGCUUACAAUUAUCUCUAUCUAUACUAAACUUAGCUCAGUAGUUACAGUGGAACAUAUUUUGUAGAAAUUUACAUAAUUUAUGAAAAUUGUUUAAAAUUGACUAUAAAGGGCAAUAACUCCUUAAGGAGUCAAUUGACCAUUUUGGUCACACUGACUUAUUUUUAGGUCUUACUUUGCUGUACAUUUUUGCUGUUUACAGUUUAUCUUUAUCUAUAAUAAUAUUAAAGAUAACAAACAAUUCAGGGGCCGCAACCCAACAAUGGUUUGCUCUUAAUAAUCUGGUUUCAGAGAAUACAAAAACUGCAUUUGACCCCUAUGUUCUAUUUUGUUGGUUCGCCGGCAGGGUCAUCAGACACAAUUUUAAAACUAAAUACCCUAAUGAUGAUUAUGGACAAGUUUGGUUAAAUUUGUCUUAGUAGUUUCAGGAGUGUUAAAAAUUGACUAUAAAGAGCAAUAACUCCUUAAAGGGUCAACUGCCCACUUUGGUCAUGUUGACUUAUUUGUAGAUCUUACUUUGCUGAACAUUAUUGCUGUUUACAGUUUAUCUUUAUCUAUAAUAAUAUUAAGAUUUUUGUAAAAAUUUACAAAAAAAUGUUAAAAAUUGACUAUAAACGGCAAUAACUCCUUAAAGGGUCAACUGCCCACUUUGGUCAUGUUGACUUAUUUGUAGAUCUUACUUUGCUGAACAUUAUUGCUGUUUACAGUUUAUCUCUAUCUGUAAUAAUAUUCAAGAUAAAGACCAAAAACGGCAAAAUUUCCUUAAAAUUCCCAAUUCAGGGGCAGCAACCCAACAACGGGUUGUCCAAUUAUCUGAAAAUUUCAGGGCAAGUAGAUUUUGACCUGAAAAACAAUUCCCCCCCCCCCCUUUGUCAAAUUUGCUCUAAAUUGUUUGGUUUCAGAGAUAUAAGCCAAAAUCUACAUUUUACCCCUAUGUUCUAUUUUUAGCCAUGGCAGCCAUCUUGGUGGGUUGGCCGGGUCACCUGACAAUUUGCUUAAACUAGAUGAUGGCCAAGUUUGGUUAAAUUGGGGCGCUUAGUUUCAGAGGAGAAGAUUUUAGUAAAAGUAAACGACGAUGGAUGCCAAGUGAUGAGAACAGCUCACUUUGCCUUAUGGGCCAUGUGAGCUAAAAAGGAAGUAGUUGUCCAGCAGAUCCAAAAAGCACCCUCAUAUUGUACAACUGAUCAUAAUUUUGUUAAGGAGUUGAUAAGAAGUCAUUCUUUUCAACACUAAUGGAGAAAUGUAUAAUAAAAACAAGAAUGUGUCCUAAGUACACAAAUGCCCCAUCCGCACUCAUUUUCUAUGUUCAGUGGACCGUGAAAAUGGGGUAAAAUCUCUAAUUUUGUAUUAAAACUAGAAAUAUCAUAUCAUAAGGAACAUGUGUACCAAGUUUCAAGUUGAUUGGACUCCCCAACUUCAUCAAAAACUACCUCGACCAAAAACUUUAACCUGAAGUGGGAUGAACGGAUGGACGGACAGACAGACGAACGAACAGACAGACACACAGACCAGAAAACAUAAUGCCCAUAAAUGGGGCAUAAAAAAAAUUGAAUUCAAUGUAUUGAAUUAUUAAAAUAAUUGACAAACAGAAAGUAGAUGUCUGACAGAUAUGAAAAGUGCUCACACAUUACAACUCAUCACUAUAAAAACAACAUAUGAAAAGUAACAAUCACUUUUGUUGGACUUAAAGAUGGACUGAUUAUCUGAUCAAUGAAACAAAUGGACAACUUUAUUGCAGUAUAUCCCAACAUAUAAAGAGGGGUAUAAAACAGGAGAUUUACUGAUGGAGCACUAUAGUUAAACAUUUUAAAAUCAAAGACAAGAUUUCAUAAUAACUUGCAUAUAUUACGAAAGUAAAAUUUGGAUGACAAGGAAGAAAACUGCAACGCUAAAUUAUUUUAUUUUCAUAAUUAUUUUUU
rnacentral:lncRNA from 1 species